UCGACCGACCGGUGAACGGAUAUUAGUUUGACCUGUCUCUGCCCCCGCUGUACCUCGCGGUGCGGUCGUGUGGCAGACCUCUCUUCACAGAGCAACUCCCGGCGCCCAACGCGCCAAGGACCUGUAUUCAAUCGGAACGGACGCAGUGGGUGACCCGCUGCGCGACCGAACCGAACAUCUCACUUGUAUACGUAUGACUCUUUCGGCAACAGAUAUCUCGCCUCUCGCAUCGAUGAAGAACGUAGCGAAAUGCGAUACUUGGUGUGAAUUGGAGAAUCCCGUGAACCAUCGAGUCUUUAAAAGCAAGUUGCGCCCGAGGACAUCUGGCCGAGGGCACGCUGCCUGGGCGUCACGCCACCCAUCACUCCCCCCCCCCCAUUCGACCCAGAGGGUGACGCGGAGACUGGUCCUGUGCCGGAGAAGAUCUCCGUGCGCUGUUGGCCCAAAUGGAGGAACGCUGCGUGCUUGGGCGUGACUAGUGGUGGCCGGAGCAGACCUGCGAACGCCGCUCCUACCCAUGCUGCACUGCGUGGAACGAGAUGGGCAUUGAUUGCAGGCCGCCGGUGUGACUUGAGCGGAUCGGCGU
rnacentral:rRNA from 1 species